UACAGAGGUCUCAAGCGUUGUUCGGAAUCACUGGGCGUAAAGGGAGCGUAGGCGGCGUGGUAAGUCAGAUGUGAAAUCCCGGGGCUCAACCCCGGAACCGCAUCCGAUACUGCCAUGCUUGAGGGUUGGAGAGGUAGCUGGAAUUCUCGGUGUAGCAGUGAAAUGCGUGGAUAUCGAGAGGAACACUCGUGGCGAAGGCGAGCUACUGGACAACAUCUGACGCUGAGGCUCGAAGGCUAGGGGAGCAAACAGG
rnacentral:rRNA from 1 species